CCAGAAAGAAGAGAUUUUAACUCCUACCU
rnacentral:tRNA from 1 species